GCUGCCUGGGUCGGCUGGGCCUGUGGGCCUGCGUCCGACAGCGCGCGGCCGUGCUUUCUAAGCGGGCUCGGCAGCACCAGACUUCACCGGCCCGGCGCGGGGCUCACAAGUGCUCGCACUCCCUGCGGCCGGCGCGCUGACCGGAGCCUCUGGGUCUCGCACGCAGCAGCUGCAGACGCUGCCCGGCGCGGUGGGGCUGUGAGCAAAACGGCCCGCCGGUGUGGUUGCCCAGACUGUGCUGGGCCCUCCUAGGUGGAUGGCCCUGCCCCAGCCUAACUUCUGUACCCCAGCAUAACCUCCAAAGUAACAGCCGUGCCCUGGGAGCCUGUUCAACACUGAACAUAUCCCACAAUAACACUGUUCCAGCGUCGCUGGUAAAAAGCAGAAAUGGCUUCGCUGGAGGCAUCGACAAAUCUAAUGCAGUAACCUCAUUUUACAGAAGAGAACUCUAAGAGGAUAACUAACUUGGCCAAGAUCACAUGAUGUUUCUGGAUGAGAUUAGCAUUCAAAUUCGUGGACUCAUUAAAGUAGAUGGCUCUCUCCAAUAUGGGUGGGCAUCAUCCAAUCUGUUGAAGGCGUGAAGAGAACAAGAGAAGGAGGAAGGAAGAAUUCACCUUUUUUCUUGCUGCCCACCUGCUUGGGCUGGGACAUUGCAUCUCACCUUCUCCAGCCUUUGGAUGAGGAUUUACACCCUGGUUCUCAGGCCUUCAGGCUCUAACUGGAGCUACACUAUCAACUUUCCUGGGCCUCCAGAUUGCAGAUGGUGGAUCACGGUACUUUUUAGCCUCCAUCAUAAUAUGAGAAAAAAGAGGCACAGUGAAGCUAAAUAUAUUGGCUAAAGAUCACAAAGCUAAUAUCGCUCUUUUCUCUGAAAUUUGCCUGGGGCCGCAGCAUAAAUCUACAGUUACAACCAUGAAGGUAGAAGUUGCUCAUUAAUUCAGAGGGCAGGAACUUGUGAACAUAACUGUUAGUUGAAAUUUUUCAAGAUGAAAAGUUGCUAAAGAAAGAGAAAGGGAAGCGGUUUGCUCCAGUAUUCCUCUUUCCACCUUCCCACUGACUGGGAAGCGGCGGUUAGCAGAGCCACAGUCUUGGAUUAGAGAUAAGAGGGACAUGUUGAGGAAGGUGGAGUCUCCCCCACAGCCCUGGACCAGGCUCCAGUGCCAACAAAAGCCAAGAAGAACCUCUGGAGCAAUCAGUCUAAAUUAGUUGAUAACGUCUUCCAGGAGACCUACGGCCAUCCUACUGAUAUGAACCAGAUCAUACCUGCCCUGAUGGGAUGCCAGAGAAAGACUGCUGCAAGGGAUCCUCUGGAAACAGAACAGAGGGAAGAAGAUACCUUCCCUGAAGCCCAGAUGUUCCAGAAGCCUGCGCCUCAUUCACAAAGUCACCCCAAAAAUGCCCUAGAGUUUGGAGUUUUGAAGAAGCGGGAAGAAGGCCUGAGUAAGGGCCUGGGAACCAAGUUAGAUCCUACUUCAGCAUCAGCACAUGCCAGCGAUGGUGCACACAGGUGGAGAGCGGCCUGCCCGUCUUUUCCAUGGUGCCCACAGACCCAUUUAGGAUGAAAGAUCAGAAAAUUCUCUCCAUGUCACCGCUUCUGAAACAUGUGAAUAUUAAUAUUUGGUGCCUAAAAGGCCAUGGCAAAUUUUCAUUGGUUUUAUCUUAUUCAUGAUUAUAGAGUUGAAAGAAUACAUAUUCCCAUGGGGAUCAAUGAAGACAUUCUCAUUUUGAAUGAAGUAGAAUAUAAGUUGUAAAGAUAUAGAAUUUUCCUGAACUGAACCUUGAACCAAAAAUCCCCUCAAUUAACCUGGAACUAAACACAGUCCCUGAAGAUAACAAGGAGUUUCAGGAUGCCACAGGGCUGUCUGUGCAGUAUGGGGCUUCUUGCUCUAUCUCUGGUAUCUGAGGCAGAUAGGCUACUCAGGCCCCUCUCUGGUCUCAAGGUGGGCUGGCUGAGAUGUCAGUUUCUUCCUCAGUGACAGCUUGGGUACAGUAUGUGUAAACUGAUUGUCAGCUGAGCUGAAGGGACUCUGCCCAUAUUGGAGUGUUCUACAAGAAGAGGUGUCAAACCUAAAGGUCUAAAAUUACUAUGAAAGGAGUAUUGGAAACCACUGGGACAAUUGUGAUCACAACUGGUGGUAGCCUUCUCGUUUGGGUGAGAAAGACAGAAAGGAGGAAGAUGUGUUAGUCAAGGUUCUCUAGAGGGACAAAACUAAUAGGAUAUAUGUAUAUAUGAGAGGGAGUUUAUUAAGGAGAAUUGACUCACUUGAUCACAAGGUAAAGUCCCAAGAUAGGCUGUCUGCAAGUUGAGGAGCAAGGAAGUCAUUGGUGGAUUGUUCUGGGUACCAAAACCUCAAAAGUAGGGAAAUCGACAGUGCAGCCUUCAGUCUGUGGUCAAAGGCUCGAGGGGCCCUGGCAGACCACUGGUGUAAGUCCAAGAGUCCCAGAAGCUGAAGAACUUGGAGUCUGAUGUUUGAGGGCAGGAAGCAUCCAGCACAGGAGAAAGACGGAUGCUGGAAGACUUAGCAAGUCUGUUCUUUCCAAUUUCUUCUGCCUGCUUUUAUUCUAGCCAUGCUGGCAGCUGAUUAGAUGGUGCCCUCCCAAAUUGAGGGUGGCUGUGCCUCUCCCAGUCCACUGACUCAAAUGUUAAUCUCCUUUGGCAACACCCUCACAGACACACCCAGGAACAAUACUUUGCAUCCUUCAUUCCAAUCAAGUUGACACUCAAUAUUAACCAUCACAGAAGGAGAAUUUCAGGCUGAGUCCAAACACUAUGGCCCCAGCCCCAGCUUCCCCUUUCUGGGUUGAAUAACCAGACUGAGCCUAAGAAAAGGAAAAGAGUUGACUUUCUCCCAAAAGGCCUGCAGCGGGUUAGAAAGCAAUGGUUUGGGGACCAUACUGAGUGCCUAGGAUGCUCUGGACCACAAAGCUUGAAGUCAAAUUGUUCAUGCACUUGUUUCAUGAUAGGAAGAGAGAGAGAGAGAGAGAGAGAGAGAGAGAAAUUUCCUUUCCUUGAAGAAUGGCAAAACACGUCUCUUGUUCUGGGGGCUAUAUCUUGAAGGGUAUCUGAUCUCCCCCUCAUGGGAGGAACUAGAAUGCCCUAAGGCAGCCGUGGCUCCUGGAGCUGAGAGAUCUUUCUGACACUUUGUGAGAGCUGCAAGGCUAAGUCUGGAGCCAGAAAAGUCCAUGUGGACAAGUGCAGAGCAAGCAGAUCUGAGACACAUGUGGGAGCAAGCUGGACAUGUCCAAAAGUCAGAGGAAGCAAGAGCAGACAUGCAUGAGCAGGCAGAUGAGGCUGGUGCCCAGGCAGCAGGCUGAGGCUCUGGCUGGGCUUUGGAUGCUCCUGAGAGUCCAGUUAGAGACCAGUGAGCAAACCCACAGUGAACUCUUAUUCCUCACGCAGCAGGACGAGGGAUUAAGCACAAAGCCUUAAAGGUCUGAGUGUCUCUUUAUCCUGACCUCAGGAAAGAGAGGCAAGUAUCAUGUUUCUAAAAGUCUGAGAAGUCUUCACAUGACAGCCUACACCAAAAGAACUCAAAUGCACAUCCACUGCAUACACGCAUGUGUGCACACAUAUACAUGUGUACACAUGCAUGCCCACACACAACCCUCUGGAAGAGGAAGUAAAGAGACUUUAUGUUUUCAGCCCCUCUUGAGGAAACUUAAACUAAGUCUUUCUGUGGGGUUAGUGGUGGAGACAGAGAGGGUCUGGGGUCACCGAGGCCGAGGUGGCUGGACCCAGAGGGUAGAGCUGAGGGGAUCCCCUGAGACUGGGAAGAUGGAGCAGAAGCAGAUGGCAGAUGGCAGCAGGUGAGAGCAGACUGGAUUUCUCCUAAAUCACCAGAUCCAGCCAACCUUUCUUUCCUUAGGGACACCUCUAGAUCCCAUUCCAAAUGAACUCUUUCUCUGACCUUUCACCUCAAUUCAGAAUUUGGGAAAUUUAGCCAUGAUCUUAGGAACACAGAGGCUUGAAACAAUCUUUUCUAACCACCCGUUUGUUCAGACUGUGUAAGUUCUGCUUCUGCAUCCAGUGUCAACACCCAAGAACCAUUUUAAAGGGGAGCCAUCCUUUGAAAUUAAACUUCUUUUAAUAAUAAAGACAGAUUUCAGGGUUGACAUAAAAGAUAGCCACAGUAAAGCCAAUCCUCCAGUGUAUAACAUUUUUCAAAGUUUCCUUCCUCUUCAUUGCUGGUGUUCAUGUACAGUCCAGAGUUAGUCUACAUUAAAUUAUAGAUUGUUUUCAGCAAUAAUGCAAACAUUUGGAAGCCUUCAAACUCUCUGAUAACUAACUUCUACAUUCUCUCUGCUAUUAUUAUAUAGAAAGGGAAAUUUUACCUGAUGCUGUUAAAGUCCUCACGAACAUAGUGAUCCGAAUUGGCUGAAGUGGAAAACUAAAUGUUAGCUGAUUUUCAAAACAAGAUUUCCACUCUGAAUUCCCAUUUUUCACAUGUGAUCAUAUGCCUUGUUGUGAAGUUGAACUAAAAAGAAACUCCAUGCCCACUGGCUUAAUGCUAGAAGAUAAUCUACAGCAUAGUAAUUUCUUAGACUUCACUUUAUUAGCCACUAAACUUGGAAUGAUUAUUUCUAUGUUCAAUUAUUAAGUCUAUAUCUCCAUUUCUUAAAAAGGUCUGAGGCAGCCCCUUUGAAUAUUAAUACGCAUUUAUUUUCACCUCUCAAAUAAAAAAAUAGUUCACAGUG
rnacentral:lncRNA from 1 species